rnacentral:rRNA from 1 species
GAUGAACGCUGGCGGCGUGCUUAACACAUGCAAGUCGAACGGUGAAGCAGAGCUUGCUCUGUGGAUCAGUGGCGAACGGGUGAGUAACACGUGAGCAACCUGCCCUGGACUCUGGGAUAAGCGCUGGAAACGGCGUCUAAUACUGGAUACGAGACGUGGCCGCAUGGUCAACGUUGGGAAAGAUUUUUUGGUUCAGGAUGGGGUCGCGGGCUGUCAGCAUGUGGGUGAGGUACUGGCUCACCAAGGCGUCGAAGGGUAGCCGGACGGAGAGGGGGACCAGCCAAGCUGGGACUGAGACACGGCCCAGACUCGGUGGGGGGGAAGAGGUGGGGAAUAUUGCACAAUGGGCGAAAGCCUGGUGCGGCAACGCGGCGUGAGGGAUGACGGCCUUCGGGUUGUAAACCUCUUUUAGCAAGGAAGAAGCUAAAGUGACGGUACUUGCAGAAAAAGCGCCGGCUAACUACGUGCCAGCCGCCGCCGUAACAC